rnacentral:rRNA from 1 species
GGCUCAGGAUGAACGCUAGCUACAGGCUUAACACAUGCAAGUCGAGGGGCAGCAUGGUCUUAGCUUGCUAAGGCCGAUGGCGACCGGCGCACGGGUGAGUAACACGUAUCCAACCUGCCGUCUACUCUUGGACAGCCUUCUGAAAGGAAGAUUAAUACAAGAUGGCAUCAUGAGUCCGCAUGUUCACAUGAUUAAAGGUAUUCCGGUAGACGAUGGGGAUGCGUUCCAUUAGAUAGUAGGCGGGGUAACGGCCCACCUAGUCUUCGAUGGAUAGGGGUUCUGAGAGGAAGGUCCCCCACAUUGGAACUGAGACACGGUCCAAACUCCUACGGGAGGCAGCAGUGAGGAAUAUUGGUCAAUGGGCGAGAGCCUGAACCAGCCAAGUAGCGUGAAGGAUGACUGCCCUAUGGGUUGUAAACUUCUUUUAUAAAGGAAUAAAGUCGGGUAUGGAUACCCGUUUGCAUGUACUUUAUGAAUAAGGAUCGGCUAACUCCGUGCCAGCAGCCGCGGUAAUACGGAGGAUCCGAGCGUUAUCCGGAUUUAUUGGGUUUAAAGGGAGCGUAGAUGGAUGUUUAAGUCAGUUGUGAAAGUUUGCGGCUCAACCGUAAAAUUGCAGUUGAUACUGGAUAUCUUGAGUGCAGUUGAGGCAGGCGGAAUUCGUGGUGUAGCGGUGAAAUGCUUAGAUAUCACGAAGAACUCCGAUUGCGAAGGCAGCCUGCUAAGCUGCAACUGACAUUGAGGCUCGAAAGUGUGGGUAUCAAACAGGAUUAGAUACCCUGGUAGUCCACACGGUAAACGAUGAAUACUCGCUGUUUGCGAUAUACUGCAAGCGGCCAAGCGAGAGCGUUAAGUAUUCCACCUGGGGAGUACGCCGGCAACGGUGAAACUCAAAGGAAUUGACGGGGGCCCGCACAAGCGGAGGAACAUGUGGUUUAAUUCGAUGAUACGCGAGGAACCUUACCCGGGCUUAAAUUGCAGAUGAAUUACGGUGAAAGCCGUAAGCCGCAAGGCAUCUGUGAAGGUGCUGCAUGGUUGUCGUCAGCUCGUGCCGUGAGGUGUCGGCUUAAGUGCCAUAACGAGCGCAACCCUUGUUGUCAGUUACUAACAGGUUCCGCUGAGGACUCUGACAAGACUGCCAUCGUAAGAUGUGAGGAAGGUGGGGAUGACGUCAAAUCAGCACGGCCCUUACGUCCGGGGCUACACACGUGUUACAAUGGGGGGUACAGAGGGCCGCUACCACGCGAGUGGAUGCCAAUCCCCAAAACCUCUCUCAGUUCGGACUGGAGUCUGCAACCCGACUCCACGAAGCUGGAUUCGCUAGUAAUCGCGCAUCAGCCACGGCGCGGUGAAUACGUUCCCGGGCCUUGUACACACCGCCCGUCAAGCCAUGGGAGCCGGGGGUACAAGAAGUGCGUAACCGCGAGGAG